rnacentral:tRNA from 1 species
GAUACUGUGAUGGAAUUGGUAGACAUGUCAGACUUGAAAUCUGUUGCCCGAUGGGCGUGAGCGUUCGAGUCGCUCCAGUAUCU